rnacentral:rRNA from 1 species
UACGAAGGGGGCUAGCGUUGCUCGGAAUCACUGGGCGUAAAGCGCACGUAGGCGGACUUUUAAGUCGGAGGUGAAAUCCUGGAGCUCAACUCCAGAACUGCCUUCGAUACUGAGAGUCUUCGAGUUCGGGAGAGGUGAGUGGAACUGCGAGUGUAGAGGUGAAAUUCGUAGAUAUUCGCAAGAACACCAGUGGCGAAGGCGGCUCACUGGCCCGAUACUGACGCUGAGGUGCGAAAGCUAGGGGAGCAAACGGG